rnacentral:miRNA from 1 species
GAGUGGGGAGGAGAGAGGGACAGAGAGCCUGCUUGCUUUAAAGGAGCAAAGUGGGAGAGGAGAGGAGCCGCUUACACGAGUGUAAGCGGCUCCUGUCCGGUUGGCUCCUUUAAAGCAAGCAGGCUCUCUGUCCCUCUCUCCUUCCCACUCA